rnacentral:rRNA from 1 species
GAUGAACGCUGGCGGCGUGCCUAAUACAUGCAAGUCGAGCGAACGGACGAGAAGCUUGCUUUUCUGACGUUAGCGGCGGACGGGUGAGUAACACGUGGAUAACCUACCUAUAAGACUGGGAUAACUUCGGGAAACCGGAGCUAAUACCGGAUAAUAUUUUGAACCGCAUGGUUCAAAAGUGAAAGACGGUCUUGCUGUCACUUAUAGAUGGAUCCGCGCUGCAUUAGCUAGUUGGUAAGGUAACGGCUUACCAAGGCAACGAUGCAUAGCCGACCUGAGAGGGUGAUCGGCCACACUGGAACUGAGACACGGUCCAGACUCCUACGGGAGGCAGCGGUAGGGAAUCUUCCGCGAUGGGCGAAAGCCUGACGGAGCAACGCCGCGUGAGUGAUGAAGGUCUUCGGAUCGGAAAACUCUGUUAGUAGGGAAGAACAUAUGUGUAAGUAACUGUGCACAUCUUGACGGUACCUAAUCAGAAAGCCACGGCUAACUACGUG